rnacentral:lncRNA from 1 species
GUUCUUGUAGUUUGUUCUACUCAUCGCUGGCAUUUUGUGUAUGUUGCCCCAUUGAUUAUGCAGCGCAAAUAUCAUAUAGGUGAUCGAGCUAAAAAAUAUAUUUGAUAUUCCCCUUUUGGUUUUGUCUCAUUAACCUACGAUGAUCAUCUUGUCUGUGUUAUGUUAACAUACAUUGGAUGAUCGUGGAUGGUUAGUAUGGUAGGCACCAUGUCAAUUUGGCUCCAUCGAUUUGUUUUUCUUCAGUGCGAGGGGUUAAUUUGCUAGGUUCUUGAGUUCCUUGUUGGAUGUCGACAUGUGUCAUGCGUUGAGAGUUUCAUACAUUUGAUCGAUUGCUUUUUCAUGUGCUAGGAAUAAAUUAAACAGUGAUUGCCACAUUUUCUUGACGCAACGAGCUGGCCAUGUAGGUUCAAGUACUAUACCAACAUUUGAUCAAUUGUUGCUUUUAGAUGAAAUCCAAUUCAUGCAGUCGAGCUACCCGGUUUCUUACUUAACAAAGUAAAGAAAAAGAAAGAAAAGCACCUGGAAAUGCUUUGGCAUUGUUGUCCUCGUCUAGAAGUAGGAGAAGUGUGCAAAGCGAGAAAGCUCAAUGAGAAACGAUGCCUUGAAAACUUGCGAGAUUGGAUAGCACAUGGUGCCUCAUCACUUUAUGCUUUGGUACUUAUAAAGUUAGAUAGCACAUGAUGCCUCACCACUUUAUGCCUUAGUAAACAC